GCCUGGCCUAUGUAUCGAGGGCAGAAACAAUAAAUAUUGAAGUCUAGGGCUAUGAUAAAUGGCAAAAAGUAUAUAACCUAGAAAGGGAUGCUUUCGAUUCUUUCGGUCUUUUUUUUUUUUUCUUUCUCAACUUAACUUUUUCUUAACUUUUCUUUGUAGUUAAGAUUUGUGUGAUUUAGUUAAGUUUUGCCAAAAUAAUUGAGGAGUUUAGAUGGAAUUAAUUGAAAUUAUAAUGGAAUUAGCCACCAGUUUAUUGUUAUUUUUCACGUGUUAUAAUAUUUAUUUGUACAUCUUGCGAUGCAUUGGAUGCUUUAUAAUUGAUAAAAAAAAAAAAAAAGAAAAAGGAAUUAAAAAGAUAGAAUACACAGUUUUACAGAGAUCAUACAAAGAUCAUACAUACAGAGAUCUUCCACUACACAGAGAGUCGAUGUCCUCAACUUCCGUAUUGGUCAAUGAUCUAUACUGAACGAGGUUUGACCACGUCCAAACAAGACGAUUUACGUUCGACGUUACGAUCGACCGCUUGAUAACGCGAAUUAGUCACAAGUCCGAUUAAUCGACGACAAAUCAACCAGUGUAGGAUAAUCUGUUCAAUUAUUCCAUAUAUGGCAAUGCACGUCACGGUGAUUGCAAAGUCAUCUACGAAAAAUGUAAAAGAUCUAUCCAAAAGAGCGAUGAUCGAUUGGAAUGUAAUCAUGCCAUUCAUUUUUGUAUCUUGCUUACGUAUCUUCCUUUCACGAAAGUGAUUUUUUUUUUAGUUACAAUAAAAAUUAUAUACUUUUGAAAAUUGUAUUCAUAUGUAUUUUAACCAUAUAUUACAUUAAUUAAUUAUUAUAAGGAAUUCAACCUUAUGAAGACAUAAACUUCCUUAAUUAUCAAUGCAAAAAUGUAAUGUGGAUUCUUAUAUUAUUUCUGAUUUGAAAAAAUAAAAUUACAAAAUAUUAAGAAAUCCAGUUUUAAAAAAAGUAGUUAAGAAAAAAAUAAAAGUCAAGAAAGAUAUUAAAAUUCCUCAGAGAUCAUCUUGUUAAGUUGAAAAUCUUAUUGGCGCCAAUAACACCAAUAAUAAUUUUAAUCAAAACAUGAUUUGCUUUAAAAUCUGUGUUAUUCAGAUGUUUUUCUCGAUUUCAACGUAAACCAAUGUACAUAAAUAGUCAAUGUUAGCAAGAAUUCAUUAAGAGAAUUCUUAUGCGAUGACGAUUUUUAUAUGUUAAAUAUAAUUUUAUCGUCUCAUUCAUAUUACAAUAAAUAAAAUAGAAAUUAAAAUUAAAAUAUUUAAAAUAAUCUUAUAAAAUUAGUAAUCUAAUUGUUGCAGUCAUUAUUCCAAUGAUAUUAAUUGAAGAUUAGUUUAAGAAUUUAAUUUUAAUUGAAUUAAUGAAUUUUUUGUAUUUUUAAUAUCCUGAUAAUUUCAUGCAUCGAAACACAUAUUUGAUUUUUAAAAAUAAAAUAUAUAAAUUUUUAUUGUGCAACUGAAUUUAACAAUAAUUAUAAUUAUUUAUAAUUAUACUUAUAAAUUAAUCAAAAAACCUCAUGGAAUAUCUUACACUAAUAGAAUAGAAUAAUUUAGCACAAAAACAAGAUUAAUGAAGUCUCCUAUUACAGACUUAACUAUCUUUAACAAAUUCUAAGUGUUUCUAACAGCUUAUCUUCAAAAAAUUUGCUCGUUACGAUAAUGAGCCACAAUUUUGCUGGAAGUGUCAUCGAUUGCAGCAGAAACAACGCUCGUAAUGAACACCUUUAAUCGGCACAAUGCGCUGUUCGAUUUCCAGUUUGCCCCUAUUUUUACCCUAGUUUCUCGUUCAUUAAUACACAUAAAUAACAGAAUUUCAUGCAUUUGACUAUUUCGAGCGUACACGAGAAAAAAAAUAAUUCUGAAUGAACUUGGAUUGUUUAAUGAAUAAUAUGAUUCACAAAAAUCUAUUUUAAAAUAUUCUGUGAUCCUGUAGAGUUAAAAUUAUAUUUUUAUUUAUCUUUUUUUUUUCUUCGAGUAUACAUAUUGCAUUCUUAUUGCAUUACUUUAUUCUCGAGAAAAAAUUGAUUUGUAACGAUUAUUAAUUAUUGUGACUGCCAUGAAAAUAAGAAAUGUAUACAUUCAAUGGAAUCUAAAAUCAAUCAUAUUUUUUUUUCUUAGAAGUAACGAAAAAUCCGGUUUUAAAAAAUUGCUUUGAAAUUUGUUACAUAUUUCUUCCUUAUGUACUGCUUCGUAUUUGCAUAAGAAUAUUCUUUAUAAUGGAUUUUACGUACGGUUCAUUAUUGUAUAUAGAUAAUAAUGACAUUGUAUUUUUCUUGAUUAUUCUCAUUACGUAAGACAAAUUUUUUUUAAUGUCACAUUGAUUAGCAUUGAUAUUACUCUUUUCGGAUAUAUCUUCUAAGAAUAAAGAUUUAUGGAUUUCGUAAUUUAGCUUGAAUUUUUAUCAUUUUACGAAUAUGACAAAUUAUAAUAAUCCAAAAAUAAAUUAUAGAAAAUUAUAAAAAAUAGAAAAAAAAAAUAAAGUUAUCGUAGAACACGAAAAGAAAAAUAUCAAUAAUUGACACACGAGAGAAAAUUCUUUUGCCUUAAUCGUUUGAAUUGAAGAAAAACUCGAUAUAAGCUUUCAUUUUCUAUUAGCAAAUAAAUAGAAUAGUAACAAUUUUAUUAUUAUUAAAAUAAAAUAUGAAUUUCGAAUAUUUCGAAAUUCUAAAUGAACGAAUUUAAAAAUAAAUAUUUAAUCAAAUCUUGAUUUGAAUUUAUAUUCAUGAUUAUUUAUAAUUUAUAAAACUUGUACAUUUUGAAAUGUCGUGAUAUUAAGAUUGUUCAAAUAUUGUGUGCGUGUUCAUAUCAUAGAGAUAGAUAAAUAUUAAAUGAUAAUAAAAAUAUAAACUGAAAUGCUAAUAUGAACAAAAAAUGAAAAAUAAGUACAUGAUUAUUUUAAAUAUAUUUUAAUUGUAAUUUUUUGUAUUUUUUUCAUUUCAUGUUAUUUACGUAUACCGAUCUCUUUAACAAUACAAUUAUAUUUCUUUUUUAUGUUCAGAUAAUUGUAUUUUAUAGUAAAAAUAAAAUGAUAUAAUAUUAAGAAAUAGAAAAGUCAAAAAAAAAAAUAUUUCGAAUACAUAAAAAACAAAAAAAAAUGAAAUAUUCGUCUUCAUGUUAUCGUAAAUAAAUUAUUUUGGAAUUAUUUAUAAUAAUUUAUGUUAUGAAUCUUGUUACAAAUAAUACAAAUAUUUAAAAAAAAAUAGAAAAACAACAAAGAAAUUUGUUAUUUAAAAGAGGAACGAAAUAAUUUAUACAUGAAUAAUAUAAAAUUAUGAAAAAUGGAGAAAAAUAUUAUUUCAAAUGUAUCAUUUAUAAUUAAAUCUACAUUGACCUUUACAUUGAGAAGAAAAUUAACAUAGAAUAAAAGUAAAAUUCUUAAUUUAAUUUUUGUUUCUAAUAAAAUAUUCUGUUAUUACAAUUUAUUAUUUUAUCACCAUAAAAUUAUUCAUUCUGUGAAUAAUUACAUAAAUAUCCAUUCAUCAUAUUAUAAAAUGCUUUUAUAACAUUACACUAUACCCUUAAUCUCUAUCUAUAAAUCACGAUAUUUAAUUAGUGUCCCAGUUCGAGACGGGACUACCAUGAAUUAUCCUAAUCUCGGACCGCUAAAUUUCUAGUCGACCGGUUCGAUGACCUGGCAACGUGCUUUGUGCUGUGGAUUUACGAAUCUUAACACGUUUAUUCUCUGUACAAGCGUUUAUAACAGGUCCAGAAAACCGUUAUAGCUUGUAGUCUGUCGUUAUAUUCACAACGUCGAACAACUGUCCUCGUUUGUGCAAAAAUUACCGCGUGAAUACAAAGACGUUUGUACGUUGAAUGAAUAUAAAUAUCAUUUUCGUUCCUCGUAUUCAUAAGUCCGCGAACAUCGGUGGAUGAACAUUGAGUGCAUUUUAAGAGACCGGUUUAAAAUAAGAUCACUCGAUGUAAGAGAUCUUUAUACGUGGAAAGAACCGGAGACGUCUUGAUAUUGCCGUCUGGCCGUGAAGGUCCGGAAAUGGUUACUAUAUAUUGCUAUUCAUAAAUAUCCGGAUAUUUUGAUGGAUUUAUAGCUAGGUAUAUAACUGUAGGUAUAUACACACACACACAUAUAUACACAGGUAUUAACAGAUAUUAAAUAGACUUAACUGUUAUACCUGUUAUAAUUGUUGUACCUUUAUAUAUUUAACAGUUAUAUCCUAUAGAAAAAUGUUAUAAUUGUUGUACCUUUAUAUAUUUAACAGUUAUAUCCUAUAGAAAAAUGUUAUAAUUGUUGUACCUUUAUAUAUUUAACAGUUAUAUCCUAUAGAAAAAUGUUAUAAUUGUUGUACCUUUAUAUAUUUAACAGUUAUAUCCUAUAGAAAAAUGUAUAAAUUGAAAGAUUGGAGAGAAGCGAAGGAACAAUAUACAAUAUACAAUACAGACAAUUUGAAAAAUGUGAAAUGUUUUAAAUUAUUCGAAUUUUUAACAUUUUUCUAUAAAAUAAAAAAUGAUCAAAAUGGAACCAAUGGAAAACAUGUAUCGGAAAUUGUAUAUUUCCUUAUAAUAUUACAAAAUUUUGAACGGAAUUGCUUAAAAGGAAUUUUCAUUAUUCUCAGAUAUUCGAAGGAGUACAUACAUUCUUGUCGAUUAACUUUCAGUAUUUCGAAAGACAUUUUCUCGGAAAUAUUUAUGAGAAAUAUGGAUCAGUAUAAUAAACAUGGAACAUGCACUAUCUCGAUCUCGUGCGCAUAUCGACUUUGAAAGAAACGACGAAGGGUUGUCCCUUCGAGCCACGAUAUCCGGGCGAAAGUCUAGUGUAAGCUCUCGUCUUCGUUCACGUGCACGCGAACAAUGGCAGUACACUUCAGACCAGUACUUUCAAUAUCGAUACAAAUUAUUGAUUAUCAAUAAGCGCCGAACGAAAUAAAACCAAGUAAAUCAAUAAAUUCAAAGCGCAGUAUUUCUCCCAUAUUUUAUUCCCUGAGAGAAAACUCUGGGCAAUUCUGUGGUGCAUUAUCAAAUGCACGAUUAUAUAAUAUAUCCAAUACACGACUUCUUGUAUCUGAUAUACAACAACAUCGUAAUUGUCUUAAUUGCACAUGUGUUUAUCUAGCUAGUACAAGCGUACUCUAUCAUUCAACGGAUCGAUGUGAUUUUUAAUCGGAUCCCUUGUUCGAUAGAAACAUACUUUUAUAACGUGUUGGCGAUCUGCCGAAAAUCUUAUUACACGAUUGCUUAGAUUUUAAAUCGUAAAAAAAUCGAAGGAAUGAAUUUAAUCGUUUUAUCGAUACGUUUAAAAAUAACUUAACUGAAAAAUCUGAUCAAUAACGAAUAAUUGUUUUGCAUUUUAUUUAUCGAAAACAUAUUAUUUUUAAUCGGCAAUGAUAAAAAGUUCGACACGAUAAUCUCACUGUCGAAUCAUUAUAGACUCUGAUCGUCGAAAUAGAAUCGUAAAACAUUCUUGAUAUAUCUGAUUUUUAUUAUAGAAAAAUCGAAUAGUAUAAGCGAACUCUGAUAGCUUUUUUUUAUUAAUUUGUUAAUUAUAUAAUAUAUACACGUCUAUGUAUUUAUAAUUCAUAUAUAAUAUAAUUUCAUAUUUAAUAUUUAAACUUAGAUAUCGAGAAAAAAAUAAAAAAAGAGAAUUUGGUAAAAUGUCGUAUAAUAUUGAAAUAUUUUUAUUUAUUUUUAUUUAUUUUUAUUUCAAUUUAUUUGAAAACUGCAAUAAGACAAAAAUGAUUGAAAAAUAUAUUUAUACAAAUAAUUGAUACUUAUGGCUAGGUUCUCUGAAUAAUUUUUUUAAUUCUUUAAUUAUAAAAUUUGAAAAUUGGAAUUAAAUUAAUUGAUAUGUUAACUUUAUGUUUUCCAAAAAUAUAUUAUUGUAUCAACAAAUUAUUGUAUAAAUAUAAGUUUUGAAUUAUCUUGAUUCACUUAUCCAUAUAUUGUUAUAUUUGUUAUCCAAAAAUUAAUAAUUAAUGAGAAUUAAAUAUAAUAAUAAUUAAAACAGGUGAUAAUAAAUUAAUUCCAUAUAUCUAUAUCUAUAUAAAAUAUGAAAAAUUAAGUAAACAAUUUACUAUUUAUAUAUGCAUAGGUAAAAAAACAUUUUUAAUUAUAUAAUAAAAUUUUAAUUCGAUAAUUAGAAGAAAAUAUAAUAUUUGUGUUCUUAAAACGACAAAUUGAUUAUUCAAGAAUGUUAAACGAGAGAAAAAACUUGUAAGGUUUCUCGAAGAGCAAAGAUCGAAGAGUGUAAAUUGAAAUAUUGCGUCACUUGUUUAUUUUACCGAUUUAAUUGCUUUUUAACGAAUGAUUAGAUCAAUGACCUUGUCACAUGUAGAAUUUAUUUUAUACAGAUAUAUAUAUAUAUAUAUAUAGAAUUACAUAUAAGAUAUUAUUUUGUCUAAAUUAUUAUUAUUUUUAUUCACAAUUAAUUGUGAGAUAUGCAAAAAAAAAAAAAGAAGUGACAAUGUCUUUAGAAAAUAACGAAUAAAAUUAAACUUAAACAUAACAUAAUUUACUCAAAUAUUAAAACUUUAAAUGUUACUACUACGAUUGAAAAUGAAAAAACCGUCGAUAUAUUAAUAUUUUUAAUUUCAUUCUUAUAGAUAAAAUUAUUUUCGAAAGAAAAAUGUUGCAAUCGAUUCAAAGAAGAAGAUGAAAAAGAGAGAGAGAGAGAGAGAGAGAGAGAGAGAGAGAGAGA